UUCGGGCCAGCGGCUUGGUGGCGCGCAGUUUACCCUGGCUGUGCGCGCCCGCAGAGAACGGGGCAUCGGCGUCUCCGGGAGCACAGCGGGCAGAGCUGCGGACUGCACGCGCCCCUGCUGCCACCGGCCGUCCCGCGGUGGCUCCCGCGCCCUGCGGCGACUUCCGAGCCCGCGCUCCCCUUUGUCCGAAUCCCCGAGCGGCGGCUGAGGCUGGGUCCGAGCCCGCGUCCUGGGCGACUGAGGCGGCGACAGUCCGCGCCCCGGCGCCCUGGCGAUGCCGGACUCGAUCUCCGUGUCGGAAUUCGUGGCUGAGACCCUUGAGGACUACAAGGCGCCCACGGCCUCUACCUUCACCACGCGCUCGGCCCAGUGCCAGGAUACCGUGGCGGCCAUCGAGGAGGUUUAGUCUCCACUGCCAGCUGCCAUGGGCAAGCAGAACAGCAAGCUGGGUCCUGAGGUGCUGCAGGACCUGCGGAAACACAGGG